AAGUCGUAACAAGGUUUCCGUAGGUGAACCUGCGGAAGGAUCAUUACAAAUCCAUCCACGUCUCAUUUCCUUGAGACCACGUUGAACUGUUCCCUAAUGCAUAUAUGCAUGUGUAUGCGUGUGUUAUACAUUAGGCUUGUAAACACUAGUAUUAUCUGUUGCUCAAUUGUAUCUUUCUUGAUCGUCAUAUGAUCAAGGCAAACAAAGUACAACUUAUAACAAUGGAUCUCUAGGCUCUU
rnacentral:misc_RNA from 1 species